rnacentral:rRNA from 1 species
UACGGGGGGGCAAGCGUUGUUCGGAAUUACUGGGCGUAAAGGGUUUGUAGGUGGCUUGCUAAGUCAGACGUGAAAUCCCUCAGCUUAACUGGGGAACUGCGUCUGAUACUGGCGAGCUUGAGUGCAGGAGAGGAACGCGGAAUUCCAGGUGUAGCGGUGAAAUGCGUAGAUAUCUGGAGGAACACCGGUGGCGAAGGCGGCGUUCUGGACUGUAACUGACACUGAGAAACGAAAGCCAGGGUAGCAAACGGG